CAUCGUUAUGGUUAAAUGGAAACUUACUGAAUGGGACAAUUCCUUCUUGGUGUUUAUCUUUGCCAUCUUUGAAGCAGUUAGAUCUAUCAGGAAACCAACUCUCUGGGCAUAUUAGUGCAAUCUCAUCAUAUUCCUUGGAGACAUUGUUUUUAUCCCACAACAAGUUACAAGGCAAUAUUCCAGAAUCAAUUUUUAGCCUUGUAAACCUUAUUUUCUUAGGUCUAUCAUCAAACAAUUUAAGUGGAUCUGUCAAAUUUCAUCGUUUCUCCAAGCUUCAAUAUUUGGAAGAACUUCACCUUUCAUGGAAUGAUCAGUUAUCACUAAAUUUCGAAUCCAAUGUCAAUUAUAAUUUCUCUAAUUUAAUGUUGUUGAACUUAUCUUCUAUGGUUUUAACUGAAUUUCCAAAAUUAUCGGGAAAAGUCCCAAUUUUAGAAUCACUCUAUUUGUCCAAUAACAAACUUAAAGGUAGAGUGCCACAUUGGUUGCAUGAAAUAUCGUUAUCUGAAUUGGACCUCUCUCAUAACCUAUUGACACAAUCAUUGCACCAAUUCUCGUGGAACCAACAACUCGGUUACCUUGAUCUUAGUUUUAACUCAAUCACUGGUGACUUCUCUUCCUCAAUUUGCAAUGCAAGUGCAAUUCAAAUUCUCAACUUGUCUCACAACAAGUUGACAGGAACCAUUCCACAAUGCCUUGCAAACUCAUUAUCCCUUCAAGUUUUGGAUCUACAACUGAACAAGCUUCAUGGCACUUUGCCAAGUAUCUUUUCAAAGGACUGUCGGCUCAGAACUCUGGAUCUCAAUGGCAACCAACUAUUAGAAGGUCUUUUGCCAGAAUCUUUGUCCAAUUGCAUUCAUCUGGAGGUUUUAGAUCUUGGAAACAAUCAAAUAAAGGAUGUGUUUCCCCAUUGGCUUCAAACUCUACCAGAAUUGAAAGUAUUGGUUUUGCGAGCCAACAAGUUGUACGGUCCCAUUGUCGGUUUAAAGAUCAAGCAUGGAUUCCCCCGUUUAGUCAUCUUUGAUGUCUCUUUCAACAACUUCAGCGGCCCAAUACCAAAAGCCUACAUACAAAAAUUUGAAGCGAUGAAGAACGUUGUUAUAGAUACCGAUCUGCAGUACAUGGAAAUUUCUAUUGGAGCUAAGAUGUACAGUGAUUCUGUGACUAUAACAACAAAAGCAAUUACUAUGACAAUGGACAAAAUUCCAAAAGGCUUUGUCAGCAUUGAUUUAUCAAAAAACGGAUUUGAAGGAGAGAUUCCAAAUGCCAUUGGAGAGCUUCAUGCCCUCAGAGGGCUCAACCUUUCCCAUAACAGAAUUAUUGGUCCUAUUCCCCAAUCCAUGGGAAAUUUGACAAACUUAGAAUCAUUGGAUCUCUCCUCAAAUAUGCUCACUGGUGGGAUACCUACGGAAUUAAGCAACUUGAACUUCCUUGAAGUCCUAAAUCUUUCCAAUAACCAUCUUGCUGGAGAAAUACCUCGAGGACAACAGUUCAGUACUUUUACCAAUGAUUCCUAUGAGGGAAACUCUGGGUUAUGUGGACUCCCACUGACAAUCAAAUGCAGCAAGGACCCUGAACAACAUUCUCCACCUUCAACUACCUUGAGGAGAGAAGGAGGAUUUGGAUUUGGUUGGAAACCAGUGGCUAUAGGAUAUGGAUGUGGAAUGGUCUUUGGAGUGGGAAUGGGAUGUUGUGUAUUGUUAAUAGGAAAGCCUCAAUGGCUUGUGAGAAUGGUCGGAGGUAAACCCAAUAAAAAGGUGAAAAGGAAGACAAGGAUGAGAUCUAAUGAAAAUGGUAGCAGAAUGAAUUAGUUGAUAUAUGGCAUGACUGGAGAAUGUCUUGUUACAUACCUGCCAUCUUUGAAAACAAAACUUAAGGGCAAGAACUUUAUCACACUGCAUUGCAUGGGAGAUCUGGUUCAAAGUUUUGCUGUAAUAUGAAUGUGUUAUACUCUUGCUUUUGUCGUAUAACUGUGGCAUUAAUUGGUUGUAUAAUAAUAGAUGUUGUAUAUUUUUAAAAAUGGUAUGUAUUGGCCAAUGCUAAAAUAUUUUGUAUCUUAAUUCAAGGAGCUGAAUUCACGGUUUUAGCUUCCAUUGUAGUCUAUUUAAUUAAUUUUCUAACUAUUUAACCACCGUGACAUGGCUUUAGAAGCUGAGGGGUCCAGGGACUUAACUAUAAGAGCACAAACAAUGCAUACUAAAAAGUUGCAUAUUUAUUUUUAUAGCCUAGGCCUCAUGGUCCGUAGGAUAUCACAUAUUUAUUUUUUAUUAAGUAAUUUUUCCCAAAUUAGAACAAUUGUCUGGUGAAAAUUUUCAAACUUUGAAAUAAAAGUUGCAGUACUAAAAUCAGUUAUAAUUAAACCUAAACUUUUUCUUUUUCAAUUACUAUUACGAUAAAUUGGUAGUGGUACGUGCUGUAAAUAUUACAUCUACUUAUAAUGUCAGCACCCAAAAAUUAUUUUUAUAAUGUAAAAUUUACAUUGUCAUUAAUUUGCUUUAUUAAUUUUUAUUAUAACUAUUUUAAAUUUAUAUUAUUAUCAUAAAAUCUGAAAAAUCGUAUCUAUAAUUUUUAAUUAAGCGUAAAAUUUUGUAACUUUUAUAAAUUUUAGUAAAUAUUAAAAAAAUAUAUAAUAUAAUGCUAGUAUUUUUCAAAAAAAUCAACAUUAUCAUUAAAUAAACCUGUGUGUUGUACAAUAAUUCCCUUUUAUCAUUCAAAAGAAAAAUUGAAACUGUUAUUCAAAAUAAAAUAACCAUUAGUGAAUUUUAUGAUAAUUACCUUAAUGAUUAAAUAUAUUUAGUUAAUUUUUUUUGCUCCCUAAUAAAUUUUUGUUUUGUUUUGAGUACUAUAUAAAACAAUAAUUUUAUUUUUGGUCCUAGAUAUUUUGUUGUAUAUAAUCCCUAAUAAGUUAGCAAAUUUUUGUUUACUUCCUUUUAAAUUAACAAAUUUUGUUUUAGUCCCAACUAAUAACAAAUGAAAAAAAUUAUCAAGAAAUAAACACACAAUUUGUGAAUCUAUCAGGGACUAAGAAAAGUAUCAAGAACCAAAAUAAAAUGAUUUUUUUAUUAGAAACUCAACGAAAAGUAAAAAUUUAUUAAAAAUUAAAUACAAAAAAUAAAUAUUUAUUAGGGAUUAAAAUUAUAAUUAAAACUUGUCUUAAAUAUUAAAUCUAUUAUAAUUAUUAAUUGGUUCACAACAUAUAAAUAUUUACACUUGUUAAAAUAUACUAUAAUUUCUCUUAAAUUAUUAGGUAAAAUUGGUAAGAGUGUGAGAAACUUAAUUAUUUAUCAAUACCAGCUAUGUGAAUGAACUAAUGUGGGUUUUUGAGCUAGAGACUCUUGGGAAAAAAAUAUUGUCUCAUAAUGAGAAGAAUACAUCAUAAAAAAAUAGAAAAUAUAAAAAUUUGUUUAAUAUGUUUCAACCCUCAUCCUUGCAUUGACAAUAUUAUACAUUUUAAGGAUAACAUAGAAAAAUUUACAAACAUUUUCUCCUUACGAUUUCCCCUCUGUUUGUUAGGGUAGUGACAGUUUCUUCGCACUAGAUGUGGUGAUUCUUCUCAUCUCAAAAAAUCUCUAUUUAUAAACCUAACAUUCUAAUAUUAACUGAAUUCAAAUCCUUAAUUUAUAAAUAAUAUAUUUAAUUCUAAAUGAUAUCCUAAAAAUAAGAUAAUAUCUUUUUUAAAAGCUAAACAAUAUCCUAUAGAUUUGUUAUUCAUUGAUUGAACCAUCAUUAAUUCCUACAUCCACAACUUUUAUAUAAGAUUUUAUGACAAGCAAGACAAACUUGCAAACCUUCCCUUGAUAUGACUCAUCUCUCUUAGGGUAUUGACCUAGGUUGAGUGAUUAUUCUUAUCUCAUAAAUCUUAUUUUAUAGACAUAACAUUCUAAUCUUAAAUGAGGAAACAAAUACCUAAUUUAUUAAUAAUAUAUUUAAUUUUAUCAACAUUCUAAAAAUAAGAUAAUAUCUUUUUUUAAGAAAAUAAAUAUCUUAUAGAUUUGAGAAUACAAAUAAGAUAUAUCUAACAAGAAGCAAAGUUGGACUUAUGUAGAUCAACCAACUAAUCCCUAUACCCACUCAUCACCUAAGCUCAGCCAAAACUCGCUUAGGCCUCAACCCUGCAUCGCUUAAGCUCUUAGCCAACACCACUUAAGCUACAUAAAAAAACAUGCUAAUUUUUGUGCCCAUUCUAGCUUAAGCGCUACCCAACACCAUUUAAGCUACUUCAAACUAAUUUACUCAAAUUAAAAAGAAUAAUGAUUCAACUAUUUAAUCACUACACAUUAAAUACCUAAUUUAUUUUCCGCACAUCACGCAACUGGUCCAUUUAUCUUUUUUAUUUAUUUCUUACAUGUAAUUUUCUUUUUAUUUUUUAAAAUCCAAAAUUUUCAUCUCUAUUUUAAAAUAAAGAUAUUUAAUCGAUUGUUUUUUACGAUCUAUAAUUUUAAUUUUCUAUUUUAAAAUAGAAAUAUUAGUCAUUUAUAUUUAUAAAAUAUGGAAUUUUAGUUAUCCCCAACUAAAAGCUUUGAUUGUUAAGAGCUUAAUCUUUAUUAUGAUAUAGAUUAACUAAAUUAUCUUGUGUCACAUUAUUAGAUUUGAAUCACAUCAAGUUAGCUUCUUACUAAUCAACGCUAAAUGAUUAUGUGGAUAUAAUCACAAAUGAUCAAAAUUAUAAAUUUUAUAACCUUAAGUAAUUAAUUGUUUUUAUUUUAAAAUAGAAGUAUUAAAAUUGUAAAAUAUAAAAAUUAAGACGGUCAAAUAUUUUUUAAAAUAUAGAAAUCAAAAUUAGAUAUUUUGAAAAUAGGAAAAAAUUACAUUUAAGUUUUUAUUUUUAUUUUUUACCGGAGGUCCAUAUGUCUAGUACUUAGAAAUCACGUCAUUAUAAAAAUGCGCCACUAGAGCAUAAUAUAAUAGCAUGAAGGACGUCAUUAUAAUUACAUUUAAGCCAUGAAGAACGUUGUUAUAUAUGCCAAUCCGCAAUACAUGGAAACUUCUGUUAUGGUUAGUGACACCAACAACACUGAUCAUGAAACCAACUACGCUGAUUCUGUGACUGUAACAAAAAAAAACAAUUACUAUGAAAAUGGACAAAAUUCGAAAUGACUUUGUAAGCAUUGCACAACAGAUUUGUAGGAGAGAUAUUCCAAAUGCCAUUGGAGAGCUUCACUCACUCAGAGGGCUAAACCUUUCCCAUAACAGAUUUAUUGGUCCUAUUCUACAAUCCAUUGGAAAUUUGACAAAGUUAGAAUCAUUGGAUCUCUCCUCAAAUAUGCUCACUGGCGGGAUACCUAGAGAAUUAAGCAAUUUGAACUUUCUUGAAGUCCAAAAUCUUUCCAAUAACCAUCUUGCAUUUGUGGGAGAAAUACCUCAAGGAAAACAGUUCAGUACUUUUUCCAAUGACUCCUAUGGUAGAAACUUGGGGUUGUGUGGACUCCCAUUGACAGCAGAAUGCAGCAAGGACCUUGAACAACAUUCUCCACCUUCACUAACCGUUGGGGGAGAACAGGGAGUUGGAUUUGGUUGGAAACCAGUGGCUAUGUGAUAUGGAUGCGGAAUGGUCUUUGGAGUGGGAAUGGGAUGUUGUGUAUUGUUAAUAGGAAAGCCUCAAUGGCUAGUGAGAAUGGUUGGAGGUCAACUCAAUAAAAAGGUGAAAUGGAAGACAAGGAUGAGAGCUAAUGAGAAUGGUAGCAGACUGAAUUAGUUGAUAUGUGGCAUGACUGUAGAAUGUCUUCUUGCACACCUUCCUGUUGAAAUUCAAUUCUGCCUUGUUGGAAAACAAAACUUAAGGGCAAGAACCUUAUCACACUGCAUUGCAUAUGCAUGCGAGAUCUGAUUCAAAGUUUAGUUGUAAUUGUAAUAUGGUGUUGUACUUUUUUUUCUUUGUGUUCAAUAAAUGAGUGUGAUAUACUUUUUUUUUUCUUCCAUUGCCCCAGAAACUCGGGUCUGAAUCAUCCAAAAGUUUGAUAAUUUUUCUGUUCAUUAAUACGCUUAGAUUGUUUUAUUUUUUUAAACUUUUUUAUAUUGGUGAAUAGUAUCAAGUUAAGUAGUGAAUAAUGUGUUGACAAUCAACAAUCAUUUCGCUAAUAUGCUGCAUAUUAGAAAAUUGUAGCAGUCAUUAAUACCAAUUUGCAUUAUGCACGCUAUUUUGAUCCCAUUGCUGUUGUGGAAGUAGUUUUGCUCCAGACAAGGAAUGGAAAUUGACCAGGAAUUUUGUUUUUUUGUGCCAUCGAUUGAGUUUGUAUAAGUGAAGAUAUGUUGAUCUUCUGACAACCUUUUUUUUUUCGAAAUUAUAAUAAUUACUAGUUCGCUAUCUAAAUUCAUGGGAAAUUGAAAAUUGAUUCCCACGAAACUGUAUUCUUCUUCUACAUUACACUUCUCAGGUGUUCAUAGAAGUCCUCUUCCUACUGGUAAGCCGUAUCAUAUUCACUCUCCCUUGCAUUCUGAUUUUUACUUAUAAAUAAGUUAAUGUCUAAGAGCAGGGUUGAAUGAGCGUAAAAAAAGAGAUAUUUUCUAUGAAGUUUUAAAACAAAUUUUACCGAAUUACAUUGUAAUUGAUCAAAUUCCAGAACCAGCCAUUUUGUAUUCUGUUCUGUUAGGCUCUAGCGUAGCUAACCCUAUACGAACUGGCUUAGCACACUUUACAUUAGUGGUUGGGUCUUGAACAUAUAUAGUUUCUUAUGCUUUAAAUUAAUAUUAAGCAUUGUGUUACUUCUAUGAUUGAGACAGCUAAUAGAGGAUGGGGUUGGAUUUUGGAAAUAAGGGGCUCAGAUACAAGUCUAGAUCCUCUUUAGUUUGUGAACUAAAAUUUUUGUUUUGGUUUUGCCUAUCUCUUAAUCUCUUAAGCUAUUAAAAUUAUUCUAGAAUCCACCUAAAGUUUUUUAUUCAAAAAUAAGUGUUGGAGUCUUAAGAUAAUGGUAUCAAGUUUAUUUAUGUAAUUUGUUUUUGGUGACCUAUUGCGGAAAAUCUUUUUAGUAUUUACUUUCUUGGAUUUUUCAAAAAAUUGAUAUUAGAGUCAAUCUUCGAUUUAGUGACCGGUUUAGACGAGGAAGAUGACGUUGAUGAAUUUAUGGAUAUAGAAUUUAUUGUAUCAAAAGUCUUUCUAUCAGCUGAAUUCAUGCAUAAAUGUCACGUAGCAAAGUUGUAGGUGUUACAAUAGUGCAAGCUACUAGAACAUGUUAUGACAAUGGCUAGACAAGCUAGAGACAAUAAAAAUUAAGUUUUAUGGGUCACCAUUAAAUAUUCUUAGAUUGAAAAUGACUUUCGGUCUUGACUUGAGAGCCUUUUUCUUAGUUUACACCUCGGCUGUGCCAUUAACAAUUGAUAAUGCUGUCUAGCAAGCUAUAUUGUGAAGAUAAAUACUUCUCUCCAUAUUUGUCCAUUUUACAUAUUUCCUGGUGUCAAAAUAUUAUUUUUAUUGUAUUUUUAUAUUUCCUGGUGUCAAGUAUCAAUGAUAAGUUUUACCAAAAAAUAAUAAUCAAUAACUAUAGUUAUGUAUAUAAGGAUAAUAAUUAUUUGACCUCUACAACAGGAUCCUAGUAUGAAGUAGUUCUGUAUGUAAAUCUUGCACAGACAAGCCAAAAUAAUAUAGCAUUGAUCAACCUGUUAAUUAGAAGAAUCAAGUUAAAAGCAGCUUGAAAAAGAGCAGGUAUAUGUAAAUAAUAGAAUACGGGGCCAUCUUGCAGUUGAGAGCGUCAUCUUUCUCCUCAUUUUGGAAUCACUCAAAUCCAAAUUUUGUAGAUUGAGAUAAUAUCAAAAUUUAAAACUUGUUCUAGGUCGUGUUUGGUGUGCAAAUUCUAUCUUAGAAGAUCCAAUUUGAACCAAGCACGUGGUUUCCCAUCACUUCUAUACUUGAAAAUAUAAAUAUGCUACAUUAAAGAGUUUUAUUCCAUUGAAUAUUCUUUCAGAAAAUGAUUUCGCAUUGGAUGUUCCUUCUUUCUAAAUGUGAUCUUUAAAACAAUGUAGAAUUUAUAAAAAAAAAUUGCGUGUAAUGUUCCUUCUUUAACAAAGGGGUCUUUGAACAAUUUUAAAUUUUAUAAACAUUUACUAAUUCUUUUUCUGUCGAUCACCAGAGGCUUAGUAUUAGAAUUUCAAAAUUUAGAUGUGAAAGGACGAAAACUGCAAUGUGAAAAGUGAAAGUUGUUACGUGGAAGUAUAUAUGGCAAAACGAAAAGAAAAAUUGGAAAGAACAAACUCCGUGUGAGCAUCACUAAUUAAAGUUAAAGUUGGACUAAAUUAAAAGAACCAAUAAAAACAAAAGUAAGAUCACUAAUUAAAGUUAAAGUUAGACUAAAAAAAAGAACCAAUACAAACAAAAGUAAGAGAAAUAAAAGGCAACAACUUACAGGUACCUCUCCAAAUACUUGCAAGCUUAAUAAAAUAAUUAAUGAAAAUCUAAUAAUAAAAAAUGGAGGAAAUAGCCAACAUACCUGCAAUAUAUUACCAUGCAUUGUUACAUCUCUACCACAAAACAUGAAUAUCUAAUCUUAUUGGAAACGAUAUUAAUGGAUGAAAUGAUAAACAUCUCUUUUUAAACCUUAUACAUCAUUCACAUAAUUAUUUCAUGUAUCUUGUUUAACAUUUUCUAAUUUUAAUUUAUAUUUUCUUCUUCGUAAAUAUAAAGAUAUGUACACCAAUUAACAAAGUUCAUGUUGUUUACAACUUCCUUUAAAAACAAUGUUGUUUACAACUUAUUUUCUACAUUAAUUAUUAUCUUAAUCUUUUUUUUUCAAACAAAACUCAUACUCAAUUUUUCAUAUAAAAAUUAGUUCUAACAUUUAAUUUUAUUCUCAAUGUUAAGCAACCACAUUAAUAACACUUUCAAAUCAUCCACCGUAUUCUAACAAUGUCCAACUCCUAAAUUGUGACAGAUAUAAGUUUUCUAACUUAUAAAUAUUUUAAUUACUAAAUUAAAUUUUUGACAAAUAUUAAUUUUAAAAAUAUGUUAAUUUUAUACAUAUGCUUUCAACGAAUAUUUUAGAAUUAUGUAUUUUUUAAUUUAAUAUAAUAUUUUUUUAAAUAUUUCUAACAUCUUGAAAUUAUAUCAUAUACAAUUAUUAAUUUACAAAUAACUUUAUAAAUGAUAUAAUUUUGACAAAUAAAUUUUUUAUGUAUAAUUUCAAAAAAUAUUUUAUAAUUUAAUUUUUUUAUAGUUUAAGGUAAUAUUUAUAUUUUAAAUAUUUUUUCUCCGAAUUAUAGUUUAAGGUAAUUUAUUUUUCAAGGGUUAAUAUUAUUGUUAGAGUCUGUUUAGCAAGCACUAUGAGUCUGUUUCACAAGUCACUCCAGUAGCUUAUAAUUUUGUUUGACUAGCAUAUAAGUUGAUUUUAUCAAAAUAAGUUUGGGUAUCAAAACAAACUUAAUUUAAUAACUUUUAGCUUAUUUUCAGACGCUAUUUCAACUAGUAUUUUAGCUUAUAAGUUAUUAAUUUAUUUUUAUAUUUAUAUUUUAUUAUUUUACUUUGAAUUAUUUUUUAUCCUUUUUUAAAUAAAACAAAUUUAUUUAAUUAAAAUAUAAUUUUUUAGAAAAAGAAGGACACAAGUCAUAAAAAAUAAAAAAAACUACAACACUCCAUUGUUUUCAAAAGUCAUAAAUCCAUAUACAUGAAGAGGGUUAAACAAAUUCAUCAAGUCUCUAUCAUUCUUUUAUAGUAUCAAACUAAAAUUAUUUUCCUAUUUUUAUAGGAUAAUAAAUUAUUACUAUAAAAAAGAUUAUAAAUUAUUAAAAAUAAAUUCAUAUAUAUAUAAUUAUAACCAAAUAACUAAAAUAGUUUUCUUAUUAACAAAUCUUAUGGGAAAAAAAUUAAUUCAAUGAGCUACCUCACAAGCUAGUUCUGUCUGGCACACCCUAGCUAUUUCUUCCUUUGAAAUAUUUUUUGUUUGAAUUGUUUAGAUUUAAAUAUAUUUUUAAUUCUUACUAAAAAAAUUUAAUUUUGUCUUUUGUCCCUGUUAAAUUAUUGUUAACUUUUUGGUCCUUAAUAAAAAAAUUUAUUUUAUUUUUUGACUUUGGAUUUAUUUAGAUAGGGCUUUAAAAAUGAAAUAAAAUUAUUUUCAAAGUUAUUUAAGAAAAAACAAAACAAAAAUAUUAUUACAAACCAAAAAGUUAAUGGAAAUUUAUCAGGAAUUAAAGAACAAAAUUUUAAGAUUUAUGAACAACCAAAAAUAUAUUUAAACAGUUUAUAAAACAAAGAGAACAUGAAAAAUCAAUCAUUAUGCUAUUCUCCUUGAACAAGAGUUAUAAUUUCCAUCUAGUACUUCUUUAUUUGUGGAUAUUGAAAUUAUUCGAUGUAACGCCUUUAAAAUAAAUUUCAGAGAGCAACUCAGCCCAUACACUAGAUUGUGUUCUACCUUGACAGUUGAAAAAAAUGCAUUAAAAAGAAGGAUUUGCCGUGAAGGUUCAAGACAAUACAUGCAUGUUUAAUUUUAAAUGAUGAUGAUAUAAACACUAUAAGGUUAUUUGUUAUUUAUUUGAUAAGUUAACUGACUGAAUAUUUAAUUCCACUCCACUACUUGCUAAAACUGACCACCCUCAUCCGAUUCACCGAAGGUUUACAAAAUUCGCUCCGUCAUGUUAUUCCAUUUCUAGUUGGUAUUUUAAAGGGAAAAAAAUGGUUAAAUAAAGAUAUGAAGCAGAAAAAUCAAAUAAAUCAUGUUUGCAGAAAAAUGAGUUCCAAGUCAUGCGUGAGGGAUGGGCUGUUGAAGUCUUGAAGCUUAAUUUAGCCACAAACUUUGCAUAGUGUUUUUAAUUUGGGUAUAAAUAUUAGUGUUUGGUUCCUCAGUAUUUCAUGUAUAUUUUCCCUUAUAGUAAACAGUUUUGAGUAGAAUAUGGAAUCAUGGAUGUGGUGUUUCCUUCUCUGUUCCCAUUUGCUCAUCCUUUAUUUUUCACCCUCUCAUUCCUUAUGCCACCCCCAUGACAACUCUGCCUUGCUCCACUUCAAAAACUCCUUCACUAUUUAUGAAGAUCCUUAUUAUUCUUAUUAUUGUGAUCAUGGUUAUUCAAAGACGACAACAUGGGAAAAUGGGAGAGAUUGUUGCUCUUGGGCUGGAGUCACCUGCCACCCCAUCUCAGGUCACGUCACUGAGCUCGACCUCAGCUGCAGUGGCCUUCACGGCAAUAUCCAUCCAAACAGUACGCUUUUCCAUCUUUCUCAUCUUCACUCACUCAACCUUGCUUUCAAUCAUUUGUAUACAUCUCAUUUGUCAUCUCUCUUUGGUGGGUUUGUGAGCCUCACACAUCUCAACUUGUCUCAUUCUGAAUUUGAAGGGGAUAUUCCUUCCCAAAUCUCUCACCUUUCCAAAUUAGUCUCACUUGAUCUCUCGUACAAUUUGUUAAAGUGAAAGGAAGACACUUGGAAGAGUUUGCUAAAAAAAUGCAACAGUUUUAAAGGUGCUUCUUUUGGAUUUUACAGAUAUGUCUUCCAUUUCAAUCAGGACACUCAAUAUGUCUUCUUCUUUGGUAACUCUUGGUCUUCUAGCAAAUGGGCUAAGCGGAAAGUUGACAGAUGGCAUUCUUUGUUUACCAAAUCUUCAGUACCUAUAUCUUUCAUUUAAUGAGGACCUUCAUGGUCAGCAGCUUCCAGAAAUGAGUUGCAGCACAACUUCUCUUGGUUUCUUAGAUCUUUCAGGUUGUGGUUUCCAAGGGUCAAUCCCUCCCUCUUUCUCUAACCUCACACAUCUUACUUCCCUGGAUCUCUCAGCUAACAACCUCAAUGGUUCAGUCCCAUCCUCACUCUUAACCCUUCCACGGCUAACCUUUCUGAAUCUAAACAAUAACCAACUCAGUGGUCAAAUCCCAAAUAUUUUUCCUAAGUCAAACAACUUUCACGAAUUGCAUUUGAGUUAUAACAACAUAGAGGGUGAGAUCCCAUCAACACUUUCAAAUCUUCAACAUCUCAUUAUCUUGGAUCUGUCACUUUGUGAUUUCCAAGGUUCAAUCCCUCCCUCUUUCUCUAACCUCAUACUUCUUACUUCCCUGGAUCUCUCAUAUAACCACCUCAACGGUUCAGUCCCAUCCUCGCUCUUAACCCUUCCACGGCUAACUUUUCUAAAUCUCAAUGCUAAUUGUCUCAGUGGUCAAAUCCCAAAUGUCUUUCUUCAGUCAAACAACAUUCACGAAUUGGAUUUGAGUAAUAACAAAAUAGAGGGUGAGCUGCCAUCAACACUUUCAAAUCUUCAACGUCUCAUUCUCUUGGAUCUUUCACAUAAUAAAUUUAUUGGUCAAAUCCCAGAUGUGUUUGUCGGGCUAACCAAAUUGAAUAGUCUCAAUCUUUCGGAUAACAAUUUAGGAGGCCCAAUCCCAUCUUCAUUAUUUGGCUUAACACAAUUUUCUUACUUGGAUUGUUCUAAUAAUAAAUUGGAGGGCCCCCUGCCGAACAAAAUAAGAGGGUUUUCAAAUCUAACAUCGUUAAGGUUAUAUGGCAACUUCCUGAAUGGAACAAUUCCUUCUUGGUGUUUAUCUUUGCCAUCUUUGGUGGAUUUAUAUCUAUCAGAAAACCAAUUCUCAGGGCAUAUUAGUGUAAUCUCAUCAUAUUCAUUGGUGAGAUUAUCUUUAUCCCACAACAAGUUACAAGGCAAUAUUCCAGAUACAAUUUUCAGCCUUGUAAACCUUACUGACUUAGAUCUAUCAUCAAACAAUUUAAGCGGAUCUGUCAACUUUCCACUUUUCUCAAAGCUUCAAAAUUUGGAAAGACUUAAUCUUUCACAUAAUAAUCAGUUAUCACUAAAUUUCAAAUCCAAUGUCAAUUAUAGUUUUUCCAGUUUAUGGAGUUUGGACUUAUCUUCUACGGGUUUAACUGAAUUUCCAAAAUUAUCAGGAAAAGUCCCAAUUUUGAAAUUACUCCAUUUGUCCAAUAAUACACUUAAAGGUAGAGUACCAAAUUGGUUGCACGACACGAACUCAUCGUUAUAUUUAUUGGACCUCUCUCAUAACCUAUUGACGCAAUCAUUGGACCAAUUCUCAUGGAACCAACACCUCGUUUACCUUGAUCUUAGUUUUAACUCAAUCACUGCUGGCUCUUCCUCAAUUUGCAAUGCAACUGCAAUUGAGGUUCUCAACUUAUCUCACAACAAGUUGACAGGAACCAUUCCACAAUGCCUUAUUAACUCAUCAACCCUGGAAGUUUUGGAUCUGCAACUGAACAAGCUUCAUGGCCCUUUGCCAAGUACCUUUGCAAAGAACUGUCAGCUCAGAACUCUAGAUCUCAAUGGCAACCAAUUAUUAGAAGGUUUUCUGCCAGAAUCUUUGUCCAAUUGCAUUAAUCUGGAGGUUUUAAAUCUUGGAAACAAUCAAAUAAAGGAUGUGUUUCCCCAUUGGCUUCAAACUCUACCAGAAUUGAAAGUAUUGGUUUUGAGAGCCAACAAGUUGUACGGUCCCAUUGAGGGUUCAAAGACCAAGCAUGGAUUCCCCAGUUUAGUUAUUUUUGAUGUCUCUUCCAACAACUUCAGCGGCUCAAUACCAAAUGCCUACAUAAAAAAAUUUGAAGCCAUGAAGAACGUUGUUCUAUAUCCCGAUUGGCAAUACAUGGAAAUUUCUAUUUCUUUUGCAGAAACCAACUACCAUGAUUCUGUGACUAUAACAACAAAAGCAAUUACUAUGACAAUGGACAGAAUUCGAAAUGACUUUGUAAGCAUUGAUUUAUCCAAAAACAGAUUUGAAGGAGGGAUUCCAAAUGCCAUUGGAGAGCUUCAUUCACUCAGAGGACUCAACCUUUCCCAUAACAGGCUUAUUGGUCCUAUUCCCCAGUCCAUGGGAAAUUUGAGAUACUUAGAAUCAUUGGAUCUCUCCUCAAAUAUGCUCAUUGGUGGGAUACCUACAGAAUUAAGCAAUUUGAACUUUCUUGAAGUCCUAAAUCUUUCCAAUAACCAUCUUGUGGGAGAAAUACCUCGAGGACAACAGUUCAAUACUUUUCCCAAUGAUUCCUACAAGGGAAACUCUGGGUUAUGUGGACUCCCACUGACAAUCAAAUGCAGCAAGGACCCUGAACAACAUUCUCCACCUUCAACUACCUUCAGGAGAGAACCAGGAUUUGGAUUUGGUUGGAAACCAGUGGCUAUAGGAUAUGGAUGUGGAGUGGUCUUUGGAGUGGGAAUGGGAUGUUGUGUAUUGUUAAUAGGAAAGCCUCAAUGGCUUGUGAGAAUGGUCGGAGGUAAACUCAAUAAAAAGGUGAAAAGGAAGACAAGGAUGAGAUCUAAUGAAAAUGGUAGCAGAAUGAAUUAGUUGAUAUAUGGCAUGACUGGAGAAUGUCUUGUUCCAUACCUGCCAUCUUUGAAAACAAAACUUAAGGGCAAGAACUUUAUCACACUGCAUUGCAUGGGAGAUCUGGUUCAAAGUUUUGCUGUAAUAUGAAUGUGUUAUACUUUUGCUUUUUGUGUUCUUUUUUUGUUUGUUAUGUGUAGAAGAGUGCAUGUACUUCAUUUGCCUUGAGCUUGCAGUUUUGAUUUAUUUAAUACGUAUAACUGUAGCAUUAAUUGGUUGUAUAAUAAUAGAUGUUGUAUAUUUUUAAAAAUGAUAUGUAUUGGCCAAUGCUAAAAUAUUUUGUAUCUUAACAGUAUGCAGUUGUCUCAUUUCAUUGAAGGAGCUCAAUUCACGGUUUUAGCUUGUAUUGUAGUCUAUUUACUUAAUUUGCUAAAUUAUCAAACUGUUAUUCAAAAUAAAAUAAGCAUUAGUGACUUUUAUAAUAAUUACCUUAAUGAUUAAAUAUAUUUUUAUUUUCAAUAAAUAGUUGAUUUUUUUGUUUAUUUCCCAAUAAAAAAAAUUAUUUUGAGUACCUUAUAAAAUAAUAAAUUUUUUUGUUUCCCAGAUAUUUUUUUUGUAAUCCCUAAUAAAUUAGCACAUUUUUGUUUACUCCCUCUUAAAUUAACGAAUUUUGUUUUAAUCCUGAUUAAUAAUAAAUAAAAAAAAUUAUUAAGAAAUAAAUAAAUACACAAUUUGUGAAUUUAUCAUGGACUAAGAAAAGUAUCAAGGAUCAAAAUAAAAUGAUUUUUUUAUUUGAAACUCAACGGAAAGUAAAAUUUUAUUAAAAAUUAAAUAUUUAUUAGUUAUUAAAAUUAUAGUUAAAACUUAUCUUAAAGAUUAAAUAUAUUAUAAUUUUUAUUUGGUUCACAACAUAUAAAUAUUUACCAUUGUUAAAAUAUACUAUAAUUUCUCUUAAAUUAUUUUAAUGAAAAUAAAUAGUAAAAUAGUAGGAACUUAAUCUAAGUUACGUUUAGUAAAUAUUGGGUAAAAUUGGUAAGAGUGUGAGAAACUUAAUUAUUUAUCACUACCAAAUAUGUGGAUCAACUAAUGUGGGUUGUUGAGCCAGAGACUCAUGAGAAAAAAUAUUGUCUCAUAGUGAGAAGAAUAAAUCAUAAAAAAUAGAAAAGAUAAUAAAUUUGUUCAAUAUGAUUUAGACCUUCAUCCUUGUAUUAACAAUCUGAUACAUUUUAAGGACAAUUUAGACAAACUUACAAACAUUCUCUUCUAACGAUUCCCCUAUCUUAGUUAGGGUAGUGAUAUUUUCUUCACACUAGAUGUGGUGAUUCUUUUUAUCUCAAAAAAUUUCUAUUUACAGAUCUAACUAAUCUUAAAUGAAUUCAAAUCCAUAAUUUACAAAUAAUAUAUUUAAUUCUAAAUGGUAUCCUAAAAAUAAGAUAAUAUGUUUUUAAAAAUCUAAACAAUAUCCUAUAAAUUUGAUAUUCAUUGAUUGGACCAUCAUUAAUUCCUACAUACCCAACCUCUAUAUAAGUUUUUAUGACAAGUUAGACAAACUUACAAAUAUUUCCUCUACAUGACUCAAUCUCUCUUAGGGUGUUGACCUAGGCUGAGUGAUUAUUCUCAUCUCAUAAAUCUUAUUUUAUAGACAUAACAUCCUAAUCUUAAAUAAGAAAACAAAUAUCUAAGGGUGUGUUAGGUUUGCAUUUUUAUUUUUUAUUUUCAUUUCCUGUUUUUAUUUUCUGAAAACUGUUUUCAUUUUUCAAAUAUUAGAAUUCUAAAAACAUGUUUGGUUUGAUUUUUUGUUUUAUGUUCUCAGGAAAUAAAAACACUGAAAAUUUAUGAUAUAUUAACUUCUUGUUUUUUUUUGUAUUUUUAGAUUUGCUUAAAAUUACAUUCUUUGCCAUUACGUUUUUAUUUUAUCCAAAAUAAGGGUCCUGUUUUAACUGAAAACGAGAUGUUAUUGUUUUCAUUUUCUGGUUGUUUCCUAUUUUCAUUUUCACUCAAAAUGUUUUUAAAAAUCGAAUCAAACACAUCUUCAUCAUUAUUUUCUGUUUUCAGUGAAAAUGAAAACAAAAAACAACCAAAUCAAACACCUCCUAAUUUAUUAAUAAUAUAUUUAAUUUUAACAACAUUCUAAAAAUAAGAUAAUAUUUUGGUUAAGAAAACAAUAUCUGACAAAUUUGAGAAUACAAAUUUAAAUUAUUUCCUAAUAAAGUCAUCGAUAUGUAGUUAAAUACUUAGAAAAAGAGUUUCAUCAUCCAUAAUAAUCAUAUUGACUCAAACAAGAUUAUCUUCAAUCAAAUAUACCUAUCUACGGAAGAAAGACCUAUGUAAGAUAAAUCUAACAUGAAGCCAAGUUGGACUUAUGUAGAUCAAUUAACCAACUAAUCCCUAUGCCCACUCAUCACCUAAGCUCAACCAAACUCGCUUAAGCCCCAACCCUGCAUCGCUUAAGCUCUUAGCCAACACCACUUAAGCUACAUCAAAAAACAUGUUAGUUUUUGUGCCCAUUCUAGCUUAAGCGCUACCCAACACCACUUAAGCUACUUCAAACUAAUUUACUCAAAUUAAAAAAAUAAUAAUGAUUCUACUAUUUAAUCACUACACAUUAAAUACCUAAUUUAUUAUCCGCUUAUCAAGCAACUGGUCCAUUUAUCUUUUUUAUUUGUUUAUUACAUGUAAUUUUUAUUUCUUUUAUUUUUUAAAAUCUAAAAUUUUGAUCUCUAUUUUAAAAUAAAGAUAUUUAGUCUAUUAUUUUUUACAAUCUAAAAUUUUAGUUUUCUAAUUUAAAAUAGAAAUAUUAGUCUUUUAUAUUUAUAAAAUAUGUAAUUUUAGUUAUCCCAACUAAAAGCAUUGUCUGCUAAGAGCUUAAUUUUAAUUAUGAUACAGAUUAAAUAAAUUAUCUUGUAUCACAUUAUUAAAUUUGAAUCACAUUAAGUUAGCUUCUUAUUAAUUAACGCUAAAUGAUUAUGUGGAUAUAGGCAUACGGAUGAUUAAAAUGAUGAAUUUUAUAAAAUUAAGUAAUUAUAUGUUUUUAUUUUAAAAUAGAAGUAUUACAAUUGUAAAAUAUAAAAAUUAAGAAGAUUAAAUAUUUUUUAAAAUAUAGAUAUUAAAAUUAAAUAUUUUGAAAAUAGGAAAAAAAAUAUAUUUAAGUUUUCUUUUACCGGAGGUCCAUAUGUCCAGUACUUAGAAAUCUCGUCAUGAUAAAAAUGCGUCACUAGAGCAUAAUAUAAUAGCAUGAAGAACGUCAUUAUAAUUACAUUUAAGCCAUGAAGAACGUUGUUAUAUAUGCCAAUCCGCAAUACAUGGAAACUUCUGUUAUUGUUAGUGACACCAACAACAUUGAUCAUGAAACCAACUACGCUGAUUCUGUGACUGUAACAACAAAAGCAAUUACUAUAUGAAAAUGGAUAAAAUUUGAGAUGACUUUGUAAGCAUUGAUUUAUCGCACAACAAAUUUGAAGGAGAGAUUCCAAAUGCCAUUGGAGAGCUUCAUUCACUCAGAGGGCUAAACCUUUCCCAUAGCAGGCUUAUUGGUCCUAUUCCCCCAUCCAUGUGAAAUUUGACAAAUUUAGAAUCAUUGGAUCUCUCCUCAAGUAUGCUCACUGGCGGGAUACCUAGAGAAUUAAGCAAUUUGGACUUUCUUGAAGUCCUAAAUCUUUCCAAUAACCAUCAUGUGGGAGAAAUACCUCAAGGAAAACAGUUCAGCAGUACUUUUUCCAAUGACUCCUAUGAUAGAAACUUGGGGUUAUGUGGACUCCCAUUGACAGCAGAAUGAAGCAAGGACCUUGAACAACAUUCUCCACCUUCACUAACCUUUGGGGGAGAACAGGGAUUUGGAUUUGGUAGAAAGCAGUGGCUAUAAUGCGGAAUGGUCUUUGGAAGGGGAAUGGGAUGUUGUGUAUUGUUAAUGGGAAAGCCUCAAUGGCUUGUGAGAAUGGUUGGAGGUCAACUCAAUAAAAAGGUGAAAUGGAAGACAAGGAUGAGAUCUAAUGAAAAUGGUAGCAGAACGAAUUAGUUGACAUGUGGCAUGACUGUAGAAUGUCUUCUUGCUCACCUUCCCGUUGAAAUUCAAUUCUGUCUUGUUGGAAAACAAAACUUAAGGGCAAGAACCUUAUCACACUGCAUUGCAUAUGCAUGGGACAUCUGAUUCAAAGUUUAGUUGUAAUUGUAAUAUGGUGUUGUACUUUUUUUUCUUUGUGUUCGAUAGAUGAGUGUGAUAUACUUUUUUUUUUACUUCCAUUGCCCCAGAAACUCGGGUCUGAAUCAUCCAUAAGUUUGAUAAUUUUUCUGUUCAUUAAUACGCUUAGAUUGUUUUAUUUUUUUUAACUUUUUUAUAUUGGUGAAUAGUAUCAAGUUAAGUAGUGAAUAAUGUGUUGACAAUCAACAAUCAUUUCACUAAUAUGCUGCAUAUUACAAAAUUGUAGCAGUCAUUAAUACCAAUUUGCAUUAUCGACGCUAUUUUGUUCCCAUUGCUGUUGUGGAAGUACUUUUGCUCCAGACAAGGAAUGGAAAUUGACCAGGAAUUUUGUUUUUUUGUGCCAUCGAUUGAGUUUGUAUAAGUGAAGAUAUGUUGAUCUUCUGACCACCUUUUUUUUCGAAAUUAUAAUAAUUACUAGUUCGCUAUCUAAAUUCAUGGGAAAUUGAAAAUUGAUUCCCACGAAACUGUAUUCUUGUUCUACAUUACACUUCUCAGGUGUUCUUAGAAGUCCUCUUCCUACUGGUAAGCCAUAUCAUAUUCACUCUCCCUUGAAUUCUGAUUUUUACUUAUAAAUAAGUUAAUGUCUAAGAGCAGGGUUGAAUGAGCGUAAAAAUUAGUUUGUAUGCUUUAAAUUAAUAUUAAGCAUUGUGUUACUUCUAUGAUUGAGACAGCUAAUAGAGGAUGGGGUUGGAUUUUUGAAAUAAGGGGCGCAGAUACAAGUCUAGAUCCUCUUUAGUUUGUGAACUAAAAUUUUUGUUUUGGUUUUGCCUAUCUCUUAAGCUAUUAAAAUUAUUCUAGAAUCCACCUAAAGUUUUUUAUUCAAAAAUAAGUGUUGGAGUCUUAAGAUAAUGAUAUCAUUAAGAUAAUGAUAUCAAGUUUAUUUAUGUAAUUUGUUUUUGGUGACUUAUUGCAGAAAAUCUUCUUGAUAUUUACUUUCUUGGAUUUUUCAAAAAAUUGAUAUUAGAGUCAAUCUUCGACAUAGUGACCGGUUUAGACAAGGAAGAUGACGUCGAUGAAUUUAUGGAUAUAAAGUUUAUUGUAUCAAAAGUCUUUCUGUCACCUGAAUUCAUGCAUAAAUGUCACGUAACAGAGUUGUAGGUGUUAUGUACAAUAAUGCAAGAUACUAAAACAUGUUAUGACAAUGGCUAGAAGAGCUAGAGACACUAAAAAUUAAGUUUCAUGAGUCACUAUUAAAUAUUCUUAGAUUGAAAAUGACUUUCGGUCUUGACUUGAGAGCCUUUUUCUUAGUUUACACCUGGCUGUGCCAUUAACAAUUGAUAAUGCUGUCUAGCAAGCUAUAUUGUGAAGAUAAAUACUUCUCUUCAUAUUUGUCCAUUUUACAUAUUUCCUGGUGUCAAAAUAUUAUUUUUAUUGUAUUUUUAUAUCCUUUAAAAUAAAUUUGCUUUUGGAGUUUUCUCUUGGACGAGAUACCAUUCAAAGAAUUUCACAUAAUGUAAAUGCACGGGGUUCUUUUUUAAUUUUGAUUUUGUGGCAUUUAUCUCUAUAUUUGGUUGAUAUAUUUGAAACUUGAUAGCGCGAUUAGCUGAUGUAUCAGUCAACGGACCCUAGUAUGGAAAAAGAAUACGGUGAAGACAGAAUUUUUCCACAAACUAAUGUAUCAGCGUGAGUUUCCUUUAAUUUUCUUUUGAUUUAAAUAUUUUUGUGGACGUGUUUUAAUUUUCAUUUUUUGAUGUGAUUGGCGAGCUUAAUUUUCUAACCCAUAUUUUAAGGGUUGGCAGACUUGGAAAUCAACGCUUGGAUUUAAUUGAACUGGCUGUUUAUACAUGUUUUGUUUUUAGAAUCAUAUCACAUAUAUGUAGUCUGUUGGUGAAAGUAUAUAGUGGCAGCUUAUGUUUUGGGCAGAAAUUGUUUCCUCAAACUUUCAUGUGAUAAGACAAAUUAACUUCUGAAUUUUCACAAUAAUAUUCUUCUAUGCUAUCAUAAGAAGAAGAAAAAACCACCAAUAACUUGUAGAUGCAUGUUCUCUUAAACAGGUGGUAUUCUUCUAGACCCAAAAAAAAAGGUGGUAUUCUCUGUGUUCAAUUAUAUCUUUUGGCUGGGAUCUUCCUUUUUCAUAUGUUGGGGUUUAAAAUAUUUAAUAGGGAUUAAUUAACAGGAACAUAUCCAGAAAAUAAUAACAAGCUUAAACAUACAAAAUUAUGUUAAUUAAUAAAUUUCAUCACUAUAUAUUUUAUAUAAAAAAAUUAAUUAACCUGUAUAUAUAAUUUUUUAAAGAAAAAUAUGAGAGGGAAACCAUUCUUGUUUCAUUUGAUACUGCCAUGUUAAUCAAUCAUGUCUAAUAAAUAUUUUCUCCGAUUUCUAUUAUAAAAAAAUUAUUUCAUAUUUAUUAAAAAAUUAAUUACUUUUAUUAAAUUGUAUUAAUAUUAAAAUAUUUUUUUUCUAAAUUAUUCUUCACUAAAAGUUGAUAUGAAGCAUAAAAAUAUCCAGCCUUAUAUAUAUUGUAGGCCAACACACAUUUCAUUUGCUUUUCUUUAUGAAAAAAGUUAAAUUAAUAGAGGAUGGGAUUGCAUUUUGGAAAUAAAGGGCUCACAUACAAGUACCUAGGUACAGUUUAGUUUGUGGCCUUAAACUCUGUUUUGGUUUUACCUUUCCUCUUGUGCUAUUAAAAUUCUUCUAGCAUCCGUUCACAAGUUUUUUAUUCAAAAGUAUUUGACGUACUGUUAGUUUAGUUGUUGAGAGUCUUUUUGUACUCCAGAAUUAACUAUGCCAUUGACAAUGGAUAAUUCUGUCAAGCAUGCUAUAUUGUUAAGAAAAAUACUUCUCUCCUAGUUUGUUCAAUUUUACAAAUAUACGUAUAUCAAAUUUUGAUGGUGGUCUCAUUUUUUUGCCUCUAUUCCUUAUCUGCUUCCCUCACUUGGAAAAGUAAAAUGGUAUCAACAUAUUUUUUUUAUUGUAUUUUUAUAUUCUUUUGAAAUAAAUUUACUUUAGAGGAGUGUUUGGACCAGAUACCAUACAAACCAAUUAAAAAAUUUAAAUGCACGGUGUCUUUUUUAAUUUUUAUUUUGUGGCAUUUUUCCUCUAUAUUUGAUUGGUAUUUUUGAAACAUGAUUGCGAUUAGCUGAUGUAUAAAGUCAACGAACCCUAGUGUGGAAAAAUAAUACGGUGAAGACAGUUUUUCAACAACUAAUUUUAUCAGCCAGAGUUUCCUUUAAUCUUCUUUUGAUGUGAUUAGAGUGUCUAAUUUUCUAACCCAUAUUUUAAAGGUUGGAAGACUCGGAAAACAACUGUUUGGUUCAACUAGGAUUGAUUAUAUAUAUAAAACUCUGUGAAUUGAAUAAUAGUUGGGGGCGGGACCUAGGAUUUAUCUAGACAUAGCUUUCCAACUCUUAACAGCUAAAACUUCUAGACACAACCCCAAUUAGAAGAUCAACAGUACAUACACCUCAACUCAUGAAAAAAACCUCUAUAUUCCAUAGAUAAACUUAAAUUUCUCAAUUUAGGAUAUCUACAGUCCUAUACAACUGAUCAAGCGUACUCUCUAUCAAUUAAUGGAAUGUUGAGUAAUUUGAUCAAAUGAAGUUUCCAAUACAGGGUACCUCUUGCCCUUCAGUUUAGAGGUCUAAGCCAAUCACUUUAGGUAGGAUUUAAUCAAACCAUGACUUAAUUCAAUUAUAUUUUAAUGGAUUAAUUUGGGUCAACGGACGUAAUAAUUUAAUUUUUUUUUCUUUUUUAAAACCUAAUAUUUUGUAGAAAUUAAAUUUUUUAUUAAAUAAAUUAAAUAUAAUUAUUUCUUAUUAUAUUUUAUUAAAAAGAAAUUUUUGUGAUGUGACCGCAUCUUACUCCGCUAACUCCUAUUUAUCCAAAGGAAUUGGGAAAUUAAGUGUAUCAUAUCACAAGCUCUUUUUAAGGUUUAGCUUUAUUGGAAGAUCUUAUAAAUAGGAGAAAAAGUAAACUAUGCUGGAAAAAAAUGUUAAGCAAUGAAGUAGACAUUAAAGAAAAACAAAAAGAAAUAUUGAAUAGAAUUGUAUUGUUUAUAAUUUUUUACGUUAUCUUACUGUUUCUACUUUCUGCAAUACUUUUAUUUUAAUUUUUUAUUUAAUGUCUAAGAGUACCCGUAGUUGACAAGACACUUCUUGUAAACAAGAAGUCAUAUAAUAGAUAACUAGAAUAAGUUGAAUUUGGAUAAUAAUUUGAGUAUUCUCUGUCAUUGUGAGAGUUGUUCUUCUUUAAUAACUUUGAUUUUAUUAACAUAUUGCGAUUAUGAUCAAAUUCUACUUGUUCACUUUGCAUGAAUUUAACAUGAUCCUAUAAAUCGAUUCGUAUUAUUGUUUAUCAGACAAUAUAAUUAAUUGUUAGUACAGUGACCUGUGAGCACAUCUAUUUGUAUACAUAUGGUAUAGAUAAACUAUUGGUUUUUUCAAUUUGAGAACAAAUCUCCUAAUAUAAUUUUUGUUCAUUUCUAAUAUUUUACAAAAAUAUUGAUGUAACCGUAUUGUCAUCUCUAUUUUAAAUUUGGCAAUAACACAUCAAACUAAAUUAAAUAAAAUCGAAUUUCAAAUUUGGGAAUAACACAUUAUCUAAUAAUGACCUCCAAAUCAAUUUCGAUGACAAUGGUGUAACAACCUUAAUUAAUAACUUCUUUGACAUAUCUGCGUUCCUUCUUUGCAUAAAUUAACUUCCAAGUCAAUGCAAAACGUUUUGCAUGGGGUAGAAAAUGGGAAACUUUUUGGGAUACAAAUACCAAUUAUAUAUGUAAGUUCUAAAAGAUAGAAACUAUAUAACUCUAUUACUAUAAUAAAGAUCCAUUCUUUUUUAAUUGACAAAUUAUUUAGUUUAUUAAUUUUAUUUAUUCAAAUUAAUUUAUUCAAUGCUAUUUAAUUUCAGUCAACAAAUUGCUAUUUAAUUUAUUCAUCAAUACUCACUCACUUGCUAAAACUUAUUAUCCGUCUUCACUGAAGUCUAAAGGUUUACAAAUUAGAAAAUGCAUUUUAAAGAGAAAAAUUAAAACGAUAAAAUAGAUAUAUGAAGUAGAAAAAUCAAAUAAAUCAUGUUUGCAAAGAGUUCCUAGAGAUAAUAUAAUGAAAGGGUUGAGAAAUGAAUGUUGAUUUGCAUGAGGGAUGGGUUGUUGUAGUGUAUACUCCUUGCGUGUUAACAAAAUUAAUUUUAAAUGUAAUUGAUUUUGUAAAAUUGAUUUUGAAGUAAUUAAUGUUUGUAUGUUUUAUUAUAAAAUUAAAUUAACAAUAAAAUUUGUUAUAAAAUUUUAGAUUCAAUACAGAAAUUGUUUAAAACAUAUAAAAAUAUAUUUAAAAUUAAUUAUAGAUUCAAAAUCAAUUUUUCAUCGUGAAUCAAACAAUAAAAAGUCUCAAAAUGGUUGAUGAAGGAUAAUUUUUUUAAAAAAUUUAUCAUUUGGAGAUAAAAUUUAAGUUGAUAUUCCAAAAGGAAUAAGUCUUAAUAAAUAAUGCAACUUCUAAAUUAAAAAUAGUGAAAUUUGUUAUAACUUUUUUUUAUUUUUUACAUUAAAGUCAUAAGAAAUUUUAUGGACUUCAUUUUUAUUUUUUAAAUACGUCUAAAAUUUAAUUCUCAUAGACAUUAAAGUCAUAAUUUUUUUUAUUGAAUUCGUAAAUUAUUUUAUGACUUUAAUUUAUUUUGCAUCUGAUAUAUUUUUUAAAAUUAUAAAUAAUUUUUAUUUUGGUUAUUUAAUAAAUUAAUGAUUUUAGUUUUAUUUAAUAUUUUGGUUAUUUUGCUAAAACCACCCUCAUCCGAUUCACCAAAGGUUUACAAAAUUCGCUCCGUCAUGUUGUUUCAUUGCUAGUUGGUAUUUUAAAGGGAAAACAUGGUUAAACAAAGAUAUGAAGUAGAAAAAUAAAAUAAAUCAUGUUUGCAGAAAAAAUGAGUUCCAAGUCAAGUCAAUUUAAAUAGCAAUUGCUGGGACAACUUUGAUAGCGUGUAAAAGGAUCAUAAGAUUUAUGGUCAAUUUGCGUGAGGUUUGGGCUGUUGAAGACUUGAAGCUUAAUUUAGCCACAAAUUUUGCAUAUCAUCUUUUAAAUUUGGCUAUAAAUAUUAAUGUUUGGUUGCUCAGUAUUAAUUUCAUGUAUAUUUGAGUAGAAAAUGGAAUCAUGGAUGUGGUGUUUCCUUCUCUGUUCCCAUUUGCUCAUCCUUUAUUUUUCACCCUCUCAUUCCUUAUGCCACCCCCAUGACACCUCUGCCUUGCUCCACUUCAAAAACUCCUUCACUAUUUAUGAAGAUCCUUAUUAUUCUUAUUAUUGUGAUCAUGGUUAUUCAAAGACGACAACAUGGGAAAAUGGGACAGAUUGUUGCUCUUGGGCUGGAGUCAGCUGCAACCCCAUCUCAGGUCACGUCACUGAGCUCGACCUCAGCUGCAGUCGCCUUUACGGCAAUAUCCAUCCAAACAGUACGCUUUUCCAUCUUUCUCAUCUUCACUCACUCAACCUUGCUUUCAAUGAUUUUAAUUAUUCUCAUUUGUCAUCUCUCUUUGGUGGGUUUGUGAGCCUCACUCAUCUCAACUUGUCUAAUUCUCACUUUGAAGGGGAUAUUCCUUCCCAAAUCUCUCACCUUUCCAAAUUAGUCUCACUUGAUCUCUCUGGUAAUAAUUUGUUAAAGUGGAAGGAAGACACUUGGAAGAGAUUGCUCCAAAAUGCAACAGUUUUAAGGGUGCUUGUUUUGGAUCAAACAGAUAUGUCUUCCAUUUCAAUCAGGACACUCAAUAUGUCUUCCUCUUUGGUUACUCUUAGUCUAGGACUGACUUGGCUAAGAGGAAACUUGACAGAUGGCAUUCUCUGUUUACCAAAUCUUCAGCACUUGGAUCUUUCACUUAAUCGGGCCCUUGAAGGUAAGCUUCCAGAAGUGAGUUGCAGAACAACUUCUCUUGAUUUCUUAGAUCUUUCACUUUGUGGUUUCCAAGGGUCAAUCCCUCCCUCUUUCUCCAACCUCAUACAUCUCACUUCCCUGGACCUCUCAGGUAACAACCUCAACGGUUCAAUCCCUCCCUCUUUCUCCAACCUCAUACAUCUUACUUCCUUGGAUCUCUCAUAUAACAACCUCAACGGUUCAAUCCCAUCCUCACUCUUAACCCUUCCAUGGCUAAACUUUCUGUAUCUAAACUAUAACCAACUCAGUGGUCAAAUCCCAGAUGCCUUUCCUCAGUCAAACAGCUUUCACGAAUUGCAUUUGAGUGAUAACAAAAUAGAGGGUGAGCUGCCUUCAACACUUUCAAAUCUUCAACAUCUCAUUCACUUGGAUCUUUCACAUAAUAAAUUGGAGGGCCCUCUGCCUAACAAUAUAACAGGGUUUUCAAACCUAACAUCGUUAUGGUUAUCUGGAAACUUACUGAAUGGGACAAUUCCUUCUUGGUGUUUAUCUUUGCCAUCUUUGGUGGAUUUAGAUCUAUCAGGCAACCAACUCUCUGGGCAUAUUAGUGCAAUCUCAUCAUAUUCCUUGGAGACAUUGUUUUUAUCCCACAACAAGUUACAAGGCAAUAUUCCAGAAUCAAUUUUUAGCCUUCUAAACCUUACUCACUUAGAUCUAUCAUCAAACAAUUUAAGUGGAUCUGUCAAAUUUCAUCGUUUCUCCAAGCUUCAAAAUUUGGAAAAACUUCACCUUUCAUGGAAUGAUCAGUUAUCACUAAAUUUCGAAUCCAAUGUCAAUUAUAGUUUCUCUAAUUUAAAGUUGUUGAACUUAUCUUCUAUGGUUUUAACUGAAUUUCCAAAAUUAUCGGGAAAAGUCCCAAUUUUAGAAUCACUCUAUUUGUCCAAUAACAAACUUAAAGGUAGAGUGCCACAUUGGUUGCAUGAAGUAUCGUUAUCUGAAUUGAACCUUUCUCAUAACCUAUUGACGCAAUCAUUGGACCAAUUCUCAUGGAACCAACAACUCGGUUACCUUGAUCUUAGUUUUAACUCAAUCACUGGUGACUUCUCUUCCUCAAUUUGCAAUGCAAGUGCAAUUGAGAUUCUCAACUUGUCUCACAACAAGUUGACAGGAACCAUUCCACAAUGCCUUGCAAACUCAUCAUCCCUUCUAGUUUUGGAUCUACAACUGAACAAGCUUCAUGGCACUUUGCCAAGUAUCUUUUCAAAGGACUGUCGGCUCAGAACUCUGGAUCUCAAUGGCAACCAACUAUUAGAAGGUCUUUUGCCAGAAUCUUUGUCCAAUUGCAUUGAUCUGGAGGUUUUAGAUCUUGGAAACAAUCAAAUAAAGGAUGUGUUUCCCCAUUGGCUUCAAACUCUACCAGAAUUGAAAGUAUUGGUUUUGCGAGCCAACAAGUUGUACGGUCCCAUUGUCGGUUUAAAGAUCAAGCAUGGAUUCCCCCGUUUAGUCAUCUUUGAUGUCUCUUUCAACAACUUCAGCGGCCCAAUACCAAAAGCCUACAUACAAAAAUUUGAAGCGAUGAAGAACGUUGUUAUAGAUACCGAUCUGCAGUACAUGGAAAUUUCUAUUGGAGCUAAAAAGAUGUACAGUGAUUCUGUGACUAUAACAACAAAAGCAAUUACUAUGACAAUGGACAAAAUUCCAAAAGGCUUUGUCAGCAUUGAUUUAUCAAAAAACGGAUUUGAAGGAGAGAUUCCAAAUGCCAUUGGAGAGCUUCAUGCCCUCAGAGGGCUCAACCUUUCCCAUAACAGAAUUAUUGGUCCUAUUCCCCAAUCCAUGGGAAAUUUGACAAACUUAGAAUCAUUGGAUCUCUCCUCAAAUAUGCUCACUGGUGGGAUACCUACGGAAUUAAGCAAUUUGAACUUCCUUGAAGUCCUAAAUCUUUCCAAUAACCAUCUUGCGGGAGAAAUACCUCGAGGACAACAGUUCAGUACUUUUACCAAUGAUUCCUAUGAGGGAAACUCAGGGUUAUGUGGACUCCCACUGACAAUCAAAUGCAGCAAGGACCCUGAACAACAUUCUCCAACUUCAACUACCUUGAGGAGAGAAGGAGGAUUUGGAUUUGGUUGGAAACCAGUGGCUAUAGGAUAUGGAUGUGGAAUGGUCUUUGGAGUGGGAAUGGGAUGUUGUGUAUUGUUAAUAGGAAAGCCUCAAUGGCUUGUGAGAAUGGUCGGAGGUAAACCCAAUAAAAAGGUGAAAAGGAAGACAAGGAUGAGAUCUAAUGAAAAUGGUAGCAGAAUGAAUUAGUUGAUAUAUGGCAUGACUGGAGAAUGUCUUGUUACAUACCUGCCAUCUUUGAAAACAAAACUUAAGGGCAAGAACUUUAUCACACUGCAUUGCAUGGGAGAUCUGGUUCAAAGUUUUGCUGUAAUAUGAAUGUGUUAUACUCUUGCUUUUGUCGUAUAACUGUGGCAUUAAUUGGUUGUAUAAUAAUAGAUGUUGUAUAUUUUUAAAAAUGGUAUGUAUUGGCCAAUGCUAAAAUAUUUUGUAUCUUAAUUCAAGGAGCUGAAUUCACGGUUUUAGCUUCCAUUGUAGUCUAUUUAAUUAAUUUUCUAAGUAUUUAACCACCGUGAAAUGGCUUUAGAAGCUGAGGUUGAGGUCCAGGUAUAAGAGCACAAACAAUGCAUACUAAAGGAUGGCUAUGGGUAUAGCCUAGGCCUUAUGGUCCGUAGGAUAUCACAUAUUUAUUUUUUAUUAAGUAAUUUUUCCCAAAUUAGAACAAUUGUCUGGUGAAAAUUUUCAAACUUUGAAAUAAAAGUUGCAGUACUAAAAUCAGUUAUAAUUAAACCUAAACUUUUUCUUUUUCAAUUACUAUUACGAUAAAUUGGUAGUGGUACGUGCUGUAAAUAUUACAUCUACUUAUAAUGUCAGCACCCAAAAAUUAUUUUUAUAAUGUAAAAUUUACAUUGUCAUUAAUUUGCUUUAUUAAUUUUUAUUAUAACUAUUUUAAAUUUAUAUUAUUAUCAUAAAAUCUGAAAAAUCGUAUCUAUAAUUUUUAAUUAAGCGUAAAAUUUUGUAACUUUUAUAAAUUUUAGUAAAUAUUAAAAAAAUAUAUAAUAUAAUGCUAGUAUUUUUCAAAAAAAUCAACAUUAUCAUUAAAUAAACCUGUGUGUUGUACAAUAAUUCCCUUUUAUCAUUCAAAAGAAAAAUUGAAACUGUUAUUCAAAAUAAAAUAACCAUUAGUGAAUUUUAUGAUAAUUACCUUAAUGAUUAAAUAUAUUUAGUUAAUUUUUUUUGCUCCCUAAUAAAUUUUUGUUUUGUUUUGAGUAUUAUAUAAAACAAUAAUUUUAUUUUUGGUCCUAGAUAUUUUGUUGUAUAUAAUCCCUAAUAAGUUAGCAAAUUUUUGUUUACUUCCUUUUAAAUUAACAAAUUUUGUUUUAGUCCCAACUAAUAACAAAUGAAAAAAAUUAUCAAGAAAUAAACACACAAUUUGUGAAUCUAUCAGGGACUAAGAAAAGUAUCAAGAACCAAAAUAAAAUGAUUUUUUUAUUAGAAACUCAACGAAAAGUAAAAAUUUAUUAAAAAUUAAAUACAAAAAAUAAAUAUUUAUUAGGGAUUAAAAUUAUAAUUAAAACUUGUCUUAAAUAUUAAAUCUAUUAUAAUUAUUAAUUGGUUCACAACAUAUAAAUAUUUACACUUGUUAAAAUAUACUAUAAUUUCUCUUAAAUUAUUAGGUAAAAUUGGUAAGAGUGUGAGAAACUUAAUUAUUUAUCAAUACCAGCUAUGUGAAUGAACUAAUGUGAGUUUUUGAGCUAGAGACUCUUGGGAAAAAAAUAUUGUCUCAUAAUGAGAAGAAUACAUCAUAAAAAAAUAGAAAAUAUAAAAAUUUGUUUAAUAUGUUUCAACCCUCAUCCUUGCAUUGACAAUAUUAUACAUUUUAAGGAUAACAUAGAAAAAUUUACAAACAUUUUCUCCUUACGAUUUCCCCUCUGUUUGUUAGGGUAGUGACAGUUUCUUCGCACUAGAUGUGGUGAUUCUUCUCAUCUCAAAAAAUCUCUAUUUAUAAACCUAACAUUCUAAUAUUAACUGAAUUCAAAUCCUUAAUUUAUAAAUAAUAUAUUUAAUUCUAAAUGAUAUCCUAAAAAUAAGAUAAUAUCUUUUUUAAAAGCUAAACAAUAUCCUAUAGAUUUGUUAUUCAUUGAUUGAACCAUCAUUAAUUCCUACAUCCACAACUUUUAUAUAAGAUUUUAUGACAAGCAAGACAAACUUGCAAACCUUCCCUUGAUAUGACUCAUCUCUCUUAGGGUAUUGACCUAGGUUGAGUGAUUAUUCUUAUCUCAUAAAUCUUAUUUUAUAGACAUAACAUUCUAAUCUUAAAUGAGGAAACAAAUACCUAAUUUAUUAAUAAUAUAUUUAAUUUUAUCAACAUUCUAAAAAUAAGAUAAUAUCUUUUUUUAAGAAAAUAAAUAUCUUAUAGAUUUGAGAAUACAAAUAAGAUAUAUCUAACAAGAAGCAAAGUUGGACUUAUGUAGAUCAACCAACUAAUCCCUAUACCCACUCAUCACCUAAGCUCAGCCAAAACUCGCUUAGGCCUCAACCCUGCAUCGCUUAAGCUCUUAGCCAACACCACUUAAGCUACAUAAAAAAACAUGCUAAUUUUUGUGCCCAUUCUAGCUUAAGCGCUACCCAACACCAUUUAAGCUACUUCAAACUAAUUUACUCAAAUUAAAAAGAAUAAUGAUUCAACUAUUUAAUCACUACACAUUAAAUACCUAAUUUAUUUUCCGCACAUCACGCAACUGGUCCAUUUAUCUUUUUUAUUUAUUUCUUACAUGUAAUUUUCUUUUUAUUUUUUAAAAUCCAAAAUUUUCAUCUCUAUUUUAAAAUAAAGAUAUUUAAUCGAUUGUUUUUUACGAUCUAUAAUUUUAAUUUUCUAUUUUAAAAUAGAAAUAUUAGUCAUUUAUAUUUAUAAAAUAUGGAAUUUUAGUUAUCCCCAACUAAAAGCUUUGAUUGUUAAGAGCUUAAUCUUUAUUAUGAUAUAGAUUAACUAAAUUAUCUUGUGUCACAUUAUUAGAUUUGAAUCACAUCAAGUUAGCUUCUUACUAAUCAACGCUAAAUGAUUAUGUGGAUAUAAUCACAAAUGAUCAAAAUUAUAAAUUUUAUAACCUUAAGUAAUUAAUUGUUUUUAUUUUAAAAUAGAAGUAUUAAAAUUGUAAAAUAUAAAAAUUAAGACGGUCAAAUAUUUUUUAAAAUAUAGAAAUCAAAAUUAGAUAUUUUGAAAAUAGGAAAAAAUUACAUUUAAGUUUUUAUUUUUAUUUUUUACCGGAGGUCCAUAUGUCUAGUACUUAGAAAUCACGUCAUUAUAAAAAUGCGCCACUAGAGCAUAAUAUAAUAGCAUGAAGGACGUCAUUAUAAUUACAUUUAAGCCAUGAAGAACGUUGUUAUAUAUGCCAAUCCGCAAUACAUGGAAACUUCUGUUAUGGUUAGUGACACCAACAACACUGAUCAUGAAACCAACUACGCUGAUUCUGUGACUGUAACAAAAAAAAACAAUUACUAUGAAAAUGGACAAAAUUCGAAAUGACUUUGUAAGCAUUGCACAACAGAUUUGUAGGAGAGAUAUUCCAAAUGCCAUUGGAGAGCUUCACUCACUCAGAGGGCUAAACCUUUCCCAUAACAGAUUUAUUGGUCCUAUUCUACAAUCCAUUGGAAAUUUGACAAAGUUAGAAUCAUUGGAUCUCUCCUCAAAUAUGCUCACUGGCGGGAUACCUAGAGAAUUAAGCAAUUUGAACUUUCUUGAAGUCCAAAAUCUUUCCAAUAACCAUCUUGCAUUUGUGGGAGAAAUACCUCAAGGAAAACAGUUCAGUACUUUUUCCAAUGACUCCUAUGGUAGAAACUUGGGGUUGUGUGGACUCCCAUUGACAGCAGAAUGCAGCAAGGACCUUGAACAACAUUCUCCACCUUCACUAACCGUUGGGGGAGAACAGGGAGUUGGAUUUGGUUGGAAACCAGUGGCUAUGUGAUAUGGAUGCGGAAUGGUCUUUGGAGUGGGAAUGGGAUGUUGUGUAUUGUUAAUAGGAAAGCCUCAAUGGCUUGUGAGAAUGGUUGGAGGUCAACUCAAUAAAAAGGUGAAAAGGAAGACAAGGAUGAGAUCUAAUGAAAAUGGUAGCAGAAUGAAUUAGUUGAUAUGUGGCAUGACUGUAGAAUGUUUUCUUGCUCACCUUCCUGUUGAAAUUCAAUUCUGCCUUGUUGGAAAACAAAACUUAAGGGCAAGAACUUUAUCACACUGCAUUGCAUAUGCAUGGGAGAUCUGAUUCAAAGUUUAGUUGUAAUUGUAAUAUGGUGUUGUACUUUUUUUUCUUUGUGUUCAAUAAAUGAGUGUGAUAUACUUUUUUUUUUCUUCCAUUGCCCCAGAAACUCGGGUCUGAAUCAUCCAAAAGUUUGAUAAUUUUUCUGUUCAUUAAUACGCUUAGAUUGUUUUAUUUUUUUUAACAUUUUUAUAUCGGUGAAUUGUAUCAAGUUAAGUAGUGAAUAAUGUGUUGACAAUCAACAAUCAUUUCGUUAAUAUGCUGCAGAUUACAAAAUUGUAGCAGUCAUUAAUAGGCAAAUAUUGACCUGGGGGGAUUUCUUUUAGAAACUAAUUUCCAACCAUUUUGAAACAUCUACAGUUUUUUUAUUAUAAAAUAAGUGUUGGAUUCUUAAAAUAUGAUGUCAAGUUUCCUUAUAUAAUUUAUUUGGUGACCUAUUGCGGAUAAUCUCCCUGGCAUUUACUACUCUCUUGGAUUUUUCAAAAAAUUGAUAUUAGAACCAAUGGUUCGAUUUGAUGACUAGCUUAGACAAGUAAGAUGACAUCGAUGAAUUCAUGGAUAUAGAGUCCUUUGUAUCAAAAGUCUUUUUGACAGGUGAAUUCAUGCAUGAAUGUCAGGUAGCAGAGUUGCAUGUGUUGCAAUAGUGCAAGAUACUAGAACAUGUUAUGACAAUGGCUAGACAAGCUAGGGUAAUAAAGAUUAAGUUUUAAGAGUCACCAUUGAAUAUUCCUGAAUUGAAAAUGAUUUCCAUCCAAUGGAAAGGUUAACAUGUGGAAGAGACACAAACUUGAGAAAAAGAUUGUUAAAAUAUAAGUGUGAGAAAAAAUCUCAUAUUAGAUCGAAAUGACAGUUGAGUAUCAUAUAACAAGUGAGAAGAAAAUCAUAAACAUGAGUGAUAUGAUUUUAAUUUAAAAUAUGAUGUAAAAAUCACUUACAUAAUUACUCGGGAUAAAAUAUUUGAAGGAAAAAGAAUUGACUUGAGAGCCUUUUUCUUAGUUUACAUCUCGUUGUGCCAUUAACAAUUGAUAAUUCUGUCGAGCAUGCUAUAUUGUAAAGAAAAAUACUUCUCUCUUUAUUUGUUCAUUUUACAUAUUUCCUGGUGUCAAAAAAUUCUUUUUAUUGUAUUUUUAUAUCCUUUAAAAUAAAUUUGCUUUUGAAGUUUUCUCUUGGACCAGAUACCAUACAAAGAAUUUCACAUAAUGUAAAUGCACGGGGUUCUUUUUUAAUUUUGAUUUUGUGGCAUUUAUCUCUAUAUUUGGUUGAUAUAUUUGAAACUUGAUAGCGAUUAGCUGAUGUAUCAGUCAACGGACCCUAGUAUGGAAAAAGAAUAUGGUGAAGACAGAAUUUUUCCACAAACUAAUGUAUCAGCGUGAGUUUCCUUUAAUUUUCUUUUGAUUUAAACAUUUUUGUGGACGUAUUUUAAUUUUCCUUUUUGAUGUGAUUGGCGAGCUUAAUUUUCUAACCCAUAUUUUAAGGGUUGGCAGACUUGGAAAACAAUUGCUUGGAUUUAACUGAAGUGGCUGUUUAUACAUGUUUUCUUUUUAGAAUCAUAUCACAUAUAUGUAGUCGAUCUGUUGGUGAGGUAGACAGUGGGAGCUUAUGUUUUGUGCAGAGAUUGUGUCCUCAAACUUUCAUGUGAUAAGACAAAUUAACUUCUGAAUUUUCACAAUAAUACAGUUCUAUUCUAUCAUAAGAAAAAAAAAAAUACCACCAAUAACUUGUAGAUGCAUUUUCUCUUAAACAGGUGGUAUUCUAUCUCUGUGUUCAAUUAUAUCUUUUGGCUGGAAUCUUCCGUGUUCAUAUGUUGGGGAUUAAAAUAUUUAAUAGGGAUUAAUUAACAGGAAUAUAUCCAGAAAACAAGUAGUGUUCAAUUUUCCUUUUUGAUGUGAUUAGAGUGUCUAAUUUUCUAACCCAUAUUUUUAAGGUUGUAAGACUCGGAAAACAAUUGUUUGGUUUAACUAAAUUGGUUUAUACAUGUUUUGUUUUCUGAAUGAUAUGUAGCAUGCUUUCUGCGGUAGAAAACUAAGUCAGUCGAUCACAUGAGACAAAAAUUAAAUAUUUUCAUCGUCACCGUUGUAAUAGCUUGCUACAUUAAACAUAAUUAGUAAUAUAUUUUUUUUAAUUAUUAUCAAAACAAGGAUAAAAUUUUCAUGAUUAAACAAAAUAUCUAUUAAACUUAUUUAAAAAUGAUGGAUUAGUAAAAGCGAUGUAAAGGCAUAAAUUAUUAUAUGAAGAAUUAUCUUCCAAAAAUAAAAUCAACUCAUGAUACAAAAAUAAACAGAGUUUGAAGUAUAUAUAUAUAUAUAUAUAUAUAUAUAUAUAACUCUGUCAAUUGAAUAAUAGUUGGGGGGCGGGACCUAGGAUUUAUCUAGACAUAGCUUUCUAACUCUUAACAACUAAAAUUUCUAGACACAAGCCCGAUUAGAAGAUCAACAGUACAUACACCUCAACUCAUGACAAAAACCUUUAUAUUCCAUAGAUAAACUUAAAUUUCUCAAUUUAGGAGUACGAUUUGUCAAAUCUUAGACUUAAUCUAAUUAUAUUUGAACGGGUUAAUUUGAGUUGAUUUUCUAAAAAAUAUAUGAAAUUUAACCAAAACCAACUUAUUUAUAAAUUGUUUGAGUUUGAUUGGAUCAACCAAGGUAACAAUUUAAUAAUAUUUACAACAAUUUAAUAACACUUAAAACUCAUCCACCAUGUCUUAACAAUGUCCAACUCCUAAAUUGUGACAAAUAUAAGUUUUCUAACUUAUAAAUAAUUUAAUAUAUAAAUUUAAAUUUUCACAAAUAUUAAUUUUAAAAGAAUUUGUUUAAAUGAUAUAAUUUUGAAAAGUAUGUUAAUUUUAUACAUAUUCUUUCAACAAAUAUUUUAGAAUUAUGUAUUCUUUUUAAUUAAAUGUAAUAUUUAUUUUUAAAUAUUUCUAACAUCUUGAAAUUAUAUCAUAUACAAUUAUCCAUUUACAAAUAAUUUUAUAAAUGAUAUACUUUUGACAAAUUUAUUUUUUAUGUAUAAUUUCAAAAAAUAUUUUAUAAUUUAAAUUUUUAUAGUUUAAGGUAAUAUUUAUAUUUUAGAUGUUUUUCUCCGAAUUAUAUAUAUCAUAAACAAUUAUUUCUAGCGUUAUUUCAAAAUAAAUUUUGGGGAGCAAUUGCAUAAAUUAGUAAGGCAAAGGUUUUAGCUUGACAAUUGAAAAAAAAAUGCAUAAAAAAGGAUAUCCAUUAUUGAAAUAAAAUAAAUUUCUUUAAUUAAAUUAUAAUAUAUUUUAUUUUGGAAAGUGAAGGAAACACGUCAUAAAAAAACAAAAAAAAAAAAACUAAAAAGCUCCAUUGUUUUUAAAACUCAUAAAUCCAUAUACCUGAAUAGGGUUAAAAAAAUUCUUCAAAAUCUCUAUCACUCUUUUAUAGUAUCAAAUUUAAAUUAUUUUCCUAUUUUUAAGAUGACAAAUUGUUUCUGUAAAAAGACAAUAAAUUAUUAAAAAUAAAUUCAAAUAUAUAUAUAAUUAUAAACAAAACUAAAAAUAUUUUUUAUAAACAAAUCAUAUGAAAAAAAAUUCAAUUCAAUGAGCUAGUUCACAAGCUAGUUCUGUCAAGCACACCCUAUCUCUUCCUUAAAACAUUUUUUUGUUUAAAUCGUUUAGAUUUAAAUAGGUAAAUUUUUUAUUUUUUGGUUUUUUCCCUUUUAAAUUAUUGUUAAAUUUUUGCUCCCAAAAAAAUAAUUUUUGUAUUUUAUUUUUUGACUUUGGAUUUAUUUAGAUAGGGCUUUAGAAAAUGGAAUAAAAUUAUUUUGAUAGUUAUUUAGCAAAAAAACAAAAGAAAAAAUUAUUACAAACCAAAAAGUUAACAAAAAUUUAUUAGGAAUAAAAAAAAUUAAUGAUUUAUCAAGAACUAAAAAUAUAUUUAAAUUGUUUAUAACAUAAAAGAACAUGAAAAAUCAACCAUUAUGCAAUUCUCUUUGAACAAAAUUGUAAGAUGUAACAUUUUUAAAAUAAAUUUCAGAGAGCAACUCAGUCCAUACACUAAGAUAGUGUUUUACCUUGACAGUUGAAAAAAUGCAUUAAAAAGAAGGAUUUGCCGUGAAGGUUUCAAGAAAAUACAUGCAUGUGUAAUGUUAUUUCAUUUCUAGUUGGUAUUUUAAAGGGAAAACAUGGUUAAACAAAGAUAUGAAGUAGAAAAAUAAAAUAAAUCAUGUUUACAGAAAAAAUGAGUUCCAAGUCAAGUCAAUUUAAAUUGCAAUUGCUGGGACAACUUUGAUAGCGUGUAAAAGGAUCAUAAAAUUUAUGUGUCAAUUUGCGUGAGGUUUGGGCUGUUGAAGUCUUGAAGCUUAAUUUAGCCACAAAUUUUGCAUAUCAUCUUUUUAAUUUGACUAUAAAUAUUAAUGUUUGGUUGCUCAGUAUUAAUUUCAUGUAUAUUUUCCAUCCCUUAUAGUAAAGAGUAUUUGAGUAGAAAAUGGAAUCAUGGAUGUGGUGUUUCCUUCUCUGUUCCCAUUUGCUCAUCCUUUAUUUUUCACCCUCUCAUUCCUUAUGCCACCCCCAUGACACCUCUGCCUUGCUCCACUUCAAAAACUCCUUCACUAUUAAUACUAGUUAUGGCCAUAAUGAAUAUCCUUAUUAUUAUCAUAAAUGUGAUACUGGUUAUUCAAAGACGAGAACAUGGGAAAAUGGGACAGAUUGUUGCUCUUGGGCUGGAGUCACCUGCCACCCCAUCUCAGGUCAUGUCACUGACCUCGACCUCAGCUGCAGUGGCCUUCACGGCAAUAUCCAUCCAAACAGUACGCUUUUCCAUCUUUCUCAUCUUCACUCACUCAACCUUGCUUUCAAUCAUUUGUAUCAAUCUCAUUGGUCAUCUCUCUUUGGUGGGUUUGUGAGCCUCACUCAUCUCAACUUGUCUUAUUCUGAAUUUGAAGGGGAUAUUCAUUCCCAAAUCUCUCACCUUUCCAAAUUAGUCUCGCUUGAUCUCUCAGGUAAUGAUUUGUUAGAGUGGAAGGAAGACACUUGGAAGAGAUUGCUCCAAAAUGCAACAGUUUUAAGGGUGCUUGUUUUGGAUGGAGCAGAUAUGUCUUCCAUUUCAAUCAGGACACUCAAUAUGUCUUCCUCUUUGGUUACUCUUAGUCUUCGAUACAGUGGGCUAAGAGGAAACUUGACAGAUGGCAUUCUCUGUUUACCAAAUCUUCAGCACUUGGAUCUUUCAGGAAACUGGGUCCGUGGAGGCCAGCUUGCAGAAGUGAGUUGCAGCACAACUUCUCUUGAUUUCUUAGCUCUUUCAGAUUGUGUUUUCCAAGGGUCAAUCCCUCCCUUCUUCUCUAACCUCACACAUCUUACUUCCCUGGAUCUCUCAUAUAACAACCUCAACGGUCCAAUCCCUCCCUCUUUCUUCAACCUCACACAUCUCACUUCCCUAGACCUCUCAGGUAUCAACCUCAACGGUUCAAUCCCAUCCUCACUCUUAACCCUUCCACGGC
rnacentral:lncRNA from 1 species